GAGGAUAUAGCUCAGUGUUAGACUGUGUGCCUAGCAUGCAUGAGGUCCUGGGUUCAAUCCCUGGUAACCACA
rnacentral:tRNA from 1 species